CGCCUUAUACUCCUACGGGAGGCAGCAGUGGGGAAUUUUGCACAAUGGGCGAAAGCCUGAUGCAGCGACGCUGCGUGAGGGAUGACGGCCUUCGGGUUGUAAACCUCUUUCAGCAGGGAAGAAGCCACAAGUGUCGGUACCUGCAGAAGAAGCGCCGGCUAACUACGUGCCAGCAGCCGCGGUAAUACGUAGGGCGCAAGCGUUGUCCGGAAUUAUUGGGCGUAAAGAGCUCGUAGGCGGUUUGUCGCGUCUGCUGUGAAAGCCCGGGGCUUAACCCCGGGUGUGCAGUGGGUACGGGCAGACUAGAGUGCAGUAGGGGAGACUGGAAUUCCUGGUGUAGCGGUGGAAUGCGCAGAUAUCAGGAGGAACACCGAUGGCGAAGGCAGGUCUCUGGGCUGUUACUGACGCUGAGGAGCGAAAGCAUGGGGAGCGAACAGGAUUAGAAACCCCUGUAGUCCACGUACCA
rnacentral:rRNA from 1 species